UACAGAGGAGCCAAGCGUUGUCCGGAUUGACUGGGCGUAAAGCGCACGCAGGCGGUUGGGCGCGUGGGGUGUGAAAUCUGGCCGCUUAACGGCCAGGCGCCAUCCCAUACGGCUCGACUGGAGUGAUGCAGAGGUCGAUGGAAUUGCCGGUGUAGUGGUGAAAUGCGUAGAUAUCGGGAGGAACACCAGUGGCGAAGGCGACUUCCUGGCCUGUUCUUGACGCUGAGGCGCGAAAGCUAGGGGAGCAAACGGG
rnacentral:rRNA from 1 species